UACAGAGGAUGCAAGCGUUAUCCGGAAUGAUUGGGCGUAAAGCGUCUGUAGGUGGCUUUUUAAGUCCGCCGUCAAAUCCCAGGGCUCAACUCCGGGUCGGCCGUCGAUACUUCCGGGCUUGAGCACUGUAGAGGCAGAUGGAAUUCCGGGUGUAGCGGUGGAAUGCGUAGAGAUCCGGAAGAACACCGGUGGCGAAGGCGGUCUGCUGGGCAGUUGCUGACGCUGAUGCGCGACAGCGUGGGGAGCAAACAGG
rnacentral:rRNA from 1 species